CUUGGUCAUUUAGAAGGAAGUAAAAAGUCGUAACAAGGUUUCCGUAAGUGAACCUGCGGAAGGAUCAUUAUCGAAAAUUAUUGGUGAGGGUUGUAGCUGGCCUUUCGAGGCAUGUGCACGCUCGAGCCCUUAAUCCACUUUACACCUGUGCACUUAAUGUAGGUCGCCCUUAAAAAAGGUGACCUAUGUCUUAUCAUCAACCCAUCGUAUGUCUCAUAGAAUGUAAUCGAUAUCCUCGCCCUAAAAAAGCGUUGAUAAACUUAUACAACUUUCAACAACGGAUCUCUUGGCUCUCGCAUCGAUGAAGAACGCAGCGAAAUGCGAUAAGUAAUGUGAAUUGCAGAUUUUCAGUGAAUCAUCGAAUCUUUGAACGCACCUUGCGCUCCUUGGUAUUCCGAGGAGCAUGCCUGUUUGAGUGUCAUUAAAUUCUCAACUCCAAGGGUUUCACGACCUUUCGGAGAUUGGACUUGGAGGUGCUGGCCGCAUAUUGGUCGGCUCCUCUCAAAUGCAUCAGCGGAAUUCAACCUUUGGCUUCCGGAUGUCAGUGUGAUAAUCAUGUUGCGCUGUCGUUUGAUCCCUCAGAGUCCGCUUAUAAUGGUCUUCGGACAAAAUCAUCAUCAAAUUUGACCUCAAAUCAGGUAGGACUACCCGCUGAACUUAAGCAUAUCAAUAAGCGAGA
rnacentral:rRNA from 1 species